rnacentral:sRNA from 1 species
UUAGUUGUGAUGUUGUUAGUAGUCAUGUAAGUGAUGUUGUUAGUAGUCAUGUAAGUAG